rnacentral:rRNA from 1 species
ACAUGCACAUCCGCCAGAGUACUACGAGCACAGCUUAAAACCCAAAGGACUUGGCGGUGUCUCAGACCCACCUAGAGGAGCCUGUUCUAGAACCGAUAACCCCCGUUAAACCUCACCACUUCUUGUUUUUUCCGCCUAUAUACCGCCGUCGUCAGCUUACCCUGUGAAGGAUUAAUAGUAAGCAAAAUGGGUCCACCCCAAAACGUCAGGUCGAGGUGUAGCACACGAAGUGGGAAGAAAUGGGCUACAUUUUCUACAAAUAGAAUAUUACGAACUACAUUCUGAAAUAAAAUGUCCAAAGGUGGAUUUAGUAGUAAAAAGCAAACAGAGUGUCCUUUUGAACUAGGCUCUGAGACGCGCACACACCGCCCGUCACUCUCCCCUACCAACUCUUAAUUAAUUUAUAAUAAAUCAAUCAUAAUACACGGGGAGGCAAGUCGUAACAUGGUAAGUGUACCGGAAGGUGCACUUGGAAUAAU